ensembl:lncRNA
AUGUCUACUACUCGUUUCAAACGCUGCACGCAGUGCGCUGCUAAAAUUCCUGAUUCAGACGGCCACGCCAAGUGCCUCUUCUGUCUUGGCGAGGCUCAUGUGGUCGGUACCUGCCGCUUCUGCCUAGCUCUCACGGCUCAGGCCAGAAAGAACAAAGCCGCUAGGCUCAGAGCGGCGCUCUACGAAAGAUCUCUCGCGCCAGAACCGACUCCGUCGACGUCGGGUACGUCGUCGUCUUCAGCUCUGAGAGCAAUGUCGGCGCCACCAGCUAAGCCUCCGACAGCUAAAGCCUCCUCGGUCUCGUCCAGGGCGUCCAGGACCUCCAGGGCCGCUAAACCAGUCAAGCCACCGUGUACUGUGACGACGGCUACCGUGUCGACCCGCUCCGGAAAGGUGGGGCCUUCCUCGACGUCGAGCUCUCUGGCUUCGGUGACCUCGAUCCGCUCUCGUAUCGGCUCCCCUCCGUCCUCCUCUGCUAUUAAAAUAGCCUUUAAGAGGGCUCACGAGGAGUCUCGUCGAGCGCAAUCUGACUCAGCUGUGGUUCCUCCCACACCUGGCAAGUCCUUGAGGGUUGCGUCCAAGCAACCGCCGACAAAAAAACGGCUGACUCAGCACUCCUCUUCCUCGGCUUCCUCAAGGAGGGACCUGCCGUCCUCCUCGGCAACCUCCUCGAGACGGUCUUCUCCAAUUGUGCCAGCCCAGAGGCCUAGAGAUGUUUCUCAAUCUCCAUUGCACCCCCUGUCUGACGGGGAGCUGCAGGACUCACCCCACCACUCUACCCAAACGGUGGUCAGGGUGCCGGUGCCGGAGCCUCUUGCGCCGCCUCACUCUUCGCGCCAACAGCUCUUCCCUCCCACCUCGACACCGGAGCGUGGCAGACAAACGGCUCGCCUGGCUCGAGCAGCCCAGGCCUCAGCCUCUAAAGAUCCUCGGCUCCCGGCCCUCUCUUCCCGUGAGGCCAUGCCUCCCCCCGAGACUGUGCUUUCUUCUCCCUCUCAGUCCCCCCAAGGGGCUGAGGAGGAAGAUGUUGACAUUGACCGCCCAGACUCUGUCCUCUCGGCUUCGGUAGUCUCUCUCGGACUCGACCUCUCUCCUCCUCACGAUGCGUAUGAGGCAGACCCGCCUUCUCCUACUGACAAUAUUCGUGCUUUCUCUGAUCAAAUGGUCAGAAUGGCCGACGCCCUGGGUUUGGAGAUCAAGCAGACUUCCAAAGCAGUGUCUGAUCCAGUUUUCAAAAGGGUGCAGGCCCAAGCUCCGCCGGCCACGCUACUCCCUUUCCUGCCUUAUCUCUUGGACGUUAUCCAGGCCUCCUGGAAAACCCCUUCCUCCAUACCCCCGACCUCGAAGAGGAUUGAGACUUGGUACCGUACCGACGACGAUACCUUGGAGUGGCUGAAACACCACCCCACCCCAACUCCUUGGUCGUCAAGGCCUCCCAAUCCUCAGGUCGUCAGUCGAACACUCCGGCCGACAGAGAAGGGAAGCGCUUCGACGCUGUGGGUCGAAAGCUUUACUCCGGAGCCCUUUUACUUUGCCGGAUGGCAAACUAUGGAGCCUGCAUGGGUGCCUACCAGCAGAUUAUCUGGGAGAAUGCACAGCCCUUCUUCGCUAAACUGUCAGACGAAGACCGCUCCGUCCUUACCACCCUCCAACAGGAGGCUGACUCACUUGCCCACCAUCAAAUCCAGAUGGCGAAACAUACCGGGGACACGGCGGGCAAGAUGA